UACGUAGGGUGCAAGCGUUGUCCGGAAUUAUUGGGCGUAAAGAGCUCGUAGGCGGUCUGUCGCGUCGGCUGUGAAAACCUGGGGCUCAACUCCGGGCCUGCAGCCGAUACGGGCAGACUAGAAUUCGGUAGGGGAGACUGGAAUUCCUGGUGUAGCGGUGAAAUGCGCAGGAUAUCAGGAGGAACACCGGUGGCGAAGGCGGGUCUCUGGGCCGAUAUUGACGCUGAGGAGCGAAAGCGUGGGGAGCGA
rnacentral:rRNA from 1 species